rnacentral:tRNA from 1 species
UCCUCGUUAGUUUAGUGGUAAGUAUCCCCGCCUGUCACGCGGGAGACCGGGGUUCGAUUUCCCGACGGGGAG